UACAGAGGGUGCGAGCGUUAAUCGGAAUUACUGGGCGUAAAGCGCGCGUAGGCGGCUUUGCAAGUCGGGUGUGAAAUCCCCAGGCUUAACCUGGGAACUGCAUUCGAGACUGCAUUGCUAGAGUAUGGGAGAGGGAAGUGGAAUUUCCGGUGUAGCGGUGAAAUGCGUAGAUAUCGGAAGGAACAUCAGUGGCGAAAGCGCUCUGCUAGGCCGCAACUGACACUCAUGGACGAAAGCUAGGGGAGCGAAUGGG
rnacentral:rRNA from 1 species